rnacentral:rRNA from 1 species
GAUGAACGCUAGCUACAGGCUUAACACAUGCAAGUCGAGGGGCAGCGCAGUGUAGCAAUACAUGGGCGGCGACCGGCGCACGGGUGCGUAACGCGUAUCCAACCUUCCCGUUACUUAGGGAUAGCCUUCCGAAAGGGAGAUUAAUACCUGAUGGUGUUGAAAUUCCGCAUGUUAUUUCAACUAAAGAUUUAUCGGUAACGGAUGGGGAUGCGUGACAUUAGAUAGUAGGCGGGGUAACGGCCCACCUAGUCUACGAUGUCUAGGGGUUCUGAGAGGAAGGCCCCCCACACUGGAACUGAGACACGGUCCAGACUCCUACGGGAGGCAGCAGUGAGGAAUAUUGGUCAAUGGUCGGAAGACUGAACCAGCCAAGUAGCGUGAAGGAUGAAGGUUCUAUGGAUUGUAAACUUCUUUUAUACGGGAAUAAAACCUCCCACGUGUGGGAGCUUGUAUGUACCGUAUGAAUAAGCAUCGGCUAACUCCGUG